rnacentral:rRNA from 1 species
CAGUCGCCGCGGUAACACGAAGGGGGCUAGCGUUGUUCGGAAUUACUGGGCGUAAAGCGCACGUAGGCGGACAUUUAAGUCAGGGGUGAAAUCCCGGGGCUCAACCCCGGAACUGCCUUUGAUACUGGGUGUCUAGAGUAUGGAAGAGGUGAGUGGAAUUCCGAGUGUAGAGGUGAAAUUCGUAGAUAUUCGGAGGAACACCAGUGGCGAAGGCGGCUCACUGGUCCAUUACUGACGCUGAGGUGCGAAAGCGUGGGGAGCAAACAGGAUUAGAUACCCGUGUAGUCCCUGUCUCUUAUAC